UUAAAAGAAAGGACAUUAUGGUUGUCAGAA
rnacentral:piRNA from 1 species